GAUGAACGCUGGCGGCGUGCCUAAUACAUGCAAGUCGAGCGAACAGACGAGGAGCUUGCUCCUCUGACGUUAGCGGCGGACGGGUGAGUAACACGUGGAUAACCUACCUAUAAGACUGGGAUAACUUCGGGAAACCGGAGCUAAUACCGGAUAAUAUAUUGAACCGCAUGGUUCAAUAGUGAAAGACGGUUUUGCUGUCACUUAUAGAUGGAUCCGCGCCGCAUUAGCUAGUUGGUAAGGUAACGGCUUACCAAGGCAACGAUGCGUAGCCGACCUGAGAGGGAGAUCGGCCACACUGGAACUGAGACACGGUCCAGACUCCUACGGGGGGCAGCAGUAGGGAAUCUUCCGCAAUGGGCGAAAGCCUGACGGAGCAACGCCGCGUGAGUGAUGAAGGUCUUCGGAUCGUAAAACUCUGUUAUUAGGGAAGAACAAAUGUGUAAGUAACUAUGCACGUCUUGACGGUACCUAAUCAGAAAGCCACGGCUAACUACGUG
rnacentral:rRNA from 1 species